GUUUGCCACCACGGCUCUAAGGAAAUCUGCAAACGUUGACAUUUUCAGUAAUUUUUGAAGGCCUACUGGGAAAUGUCAGAAAUAUUUGUCUUUGAUAUUUUUUUGAAAGUUGACUCUCCACACAUAUUAAAUGGCCAGCAUUGAGAGAGAGGGAAUUGAAAUGGUAGAGUGGGCUCUUAUUUUAAGGUAUUGGUAAAUUUCAGGAUCUUCUGCAUCUCUUCAGUUCUCUGAAGAACUAUUAGUAAAUGUUGAGAUUUACCAAACCUCUGAUACUUAACAACAAUUAUUGCAGUUUAGUUUAGUUGUUGAUGGGGAUUUCUCUGGAAACCGGCCAUUAAUGCAACUCAGAACAGCUCAGGAUUUUGAGAAGACCGUUUUGUUUUUCCAAAGAGUCCCCACCUUUGAUUCACACAGGCUAAUUUCGUGGUUCAGAAGGAUUGUGGCUGCUGUUGCUUCUUCCCGGCAUUGUUGCUUCUGUGCGAUGCGUUUUCUCUAUGUAUGCAAAUUUCACCGAGGGCUUCCUUCUAUGUGACCGAGCGAGAAUGUGAGGCUCUUCUUCAGAGCUGCUUUAUAGAUUUGCUCAGCGUUUUCCAGCUGUCAAGACACUGUGGUUUUUGUGGGAUUUCUCUGGAUGCGUAUUGAUCCAGCUUUAAUUCAUCUUGUCAAUUAAAUCCCCAAAAUGAUACGUUAGAACUUCUUUAUUAAUUCAUGGUUAAUGUGAGAGAUUGGCGGUUAUCAUGGCUACCCCGUCAUUAGCGGAUGAAGAUUUAGAUACGUCCUUAAUUUAGGAAAAUAAGAUGUUCAAGUUUUUUUUUAAAGGGGUGGAGUGGUUACAGGCAUAUUCUUGCCUAGUUGUGGGAGGUUCCUCAGUUUCAUUAGCAAAUCUGGAAUGGUAUGGGCAGGGCCAAAUUGACUUCUUAGACCAGAGUUGGACACCCCUGCCUUAGACUGUCCUACCCUCUACACACUUGGUGCUGGACACAAAUUGAAAAAUGAACUGCAGGAUCUUAAGCACACUUCCAUCUCUGCCUUUUUCUGUUUACACACUGGGAGUAAUACUACUGACCUAUCUUACAAAUUCAUUGUAAACAUUCCUGAAGGUGAGCAAUUAUGUGGGAAGCGUUUUGUGCACACGUUCAAGGUGCUAUAUGAAUAAGGAUUGCAGUUAUUGUGUAGCCAAUUCUUUUGCUUAAUUAAUUAAAAUAUUCUGAAUGCUUGAAAA